rnacentral:rRNA from 1 species
CCUACGGGGGGCAGCAGUGGGGGAUAUUGCACAAUGGGGGGAACCCUGAUGCAGCGACGCCGCGUGGGCGAUGGAGUACUUCGGUAUGUAAAGCCCUAUCAGCAGGGAAGAAAAUGACGGUACCUGACUAAGAAGCCCCGGCUAAAUACGUGCCAGCAGCCGCGGUAAUACGUAUGGGGCAAGCGUUAUCCGGAUUUACUGGGUGUAAAGGGAGCGUAGACGGCGAAGAAAGUCUGAAGUGAAAGCCCGCGGCUCAACCGCGGAACUGCUUUGGAAACUUUUUUGCUGGAGUACCGGAGAGGUAA